CAGAAGAAUUGUAGAGGCUAAUUUAGCGUAAGCUAAGACUAGAAAAAGAAGAAAAAUAAAACAGAUAAAAGUAAUCUUAAAUGGUUGGUAUAGCCCACCCUGCCGCCCAUUUUGGAAUAGGAUUUUGAACAACUUCUACAUUUCAUCUGUUUGAUAUGUUCAGAGCACAGUGAGUGUCUCUGAAAUGUUGACUGUGGUGCCUGAUGAGGAGCCCAAUUUACAUAUUCUCAAUUUAAUCUAAAGUAGGUGCUAAUUGAUUACUGCUGAAUGUCAGCAUGCUCUGAUUAUCUGUUCAAGAUGCUCUGGAAAAAGAAAAAAAAAAAUCUACAACCCGGAGCUGCAAGUACAAAGAGGGGGGUUGAAUUCAGUACGCCAUGGAAAGACUGUUUACUCUUUUACCUGAUAUUACAUAAAGGUUUUAAUUAUCCAGGCCAGAAGCUGUUGAGUGACUACUGCUUUGCCAUGUCCUUCCACAGCAGGUGGUGAAAAUGAGUUGCUUUGCACCGGUAGAUCUACUGAAUAUGCAAUGAACAAUCCCACAGCAGCCAGGAGCCCCAGCCAAGAUGGAAGAUGAGACGGUGAGCUGGGAAACAAAGGUGAAGGAGAGAGGCAAUGAAAGCAAAGCGCUCCGUACAAUAGCUAAAAUACAAAUCUCCGGAGACUUUGAGAUAUUGCAUGAACAUCAAUUUCGCAUGCCUAUUGUCUGAGUGGUAUUAGUGUGUGUAGGACUCCCCGCCCCCGUCUCUCCGAGUGAGGGGAGCAUCAUGGCAAAUCAGGAAAUGGCAUAAUCGAAUCAGCUCCAUCACAUGACGAGGUUGCAGACCGGACUGGACGAGGCACUGAAAUGACCACGUAUCAUGAACACCUGGGCACCCUCCCACUCCUAAAUUACUUCUGCGAGUAAAGGAUGUGAGAUUUAAGCUGCAGCGGGAGACAAUCUGGUCAUGGGUUUCAUUAGUGGUUCCUUUUACCAUCUGUGAGACUUUAUGGCUAAGGAACUGGAUGAAAGAGCUUUCUAGAAAAUACAACUCAAAAAUGCAAGUCAUGCUUAGGCUGUUUAUGGAGAGUUUAUUUUGUGCUUAGGAGUAAAACAAAAUGCCAGUUGUUCACAGCUGUUUGCACUGUGAGAUAACGCGCAAGUCAGAGCGCACGGCCGCAGGUUGGAGGGGUACUCUUCCCAUCCCUUGCACCCCUUUUGCCCCUACAUAAAAGUUGACAAUUAGUUUUUACUGCACAUACAUGAAGGGAGAUACAUGCUUUGGCCUCUGUGUGAGAGCAAUAAUUCUCUUAAAUUGAUGUGUCAGCGAACUAAAACUCAAUAUUUUUUUUCGCACAGUGUAUUUCGCAGUCAGAGGACCUUCACUAAUCGGAAUAAAGCAAUUUGGCUCCCUGUCAUUGCUCACUGAAAACAUAUGAGCUGGUUGGCACGUAUGGCCUCCCAGAUUUAUCAGUGUCUCCCAUCUAGUGCAUGGGAGGUUCAGGGCUGCAGCUCAGAGAGGAGUGAAUUUUUAUGAAUGUUUUUUUCCCCUCCCUGAGAAUUCCCAGAGCUAGAUUUAUUCCUCAGUUUCAGAAAUGUUUUAUUUAUUGUCCGUAUCCCAUAUCCUCUUUAGGUCAAAUCGAAGUCAUAUUUUACAUUUUUGAUUUGUAUUGCUAUGUCUUUAUUGCUUUGCUCAUUUAAAAAAAAAAAAAAAAAAGGCACAGCCCCAAAUCUGGGAGAAGUACUAUUCCCGUAGCUCUCCUUUCCUUUAUUGUGAGAGCACCACAAUAUCACAAUAUGAACACACACAGCUGUCCUUUCAGUGGGACCUGCAUAAAAAGGAUUUGCUGCAUCUUCCAUCAGGUCCACCAAAGGCCAGCUUUGGUGUCAUGUCUUUGUCAUGCUGCCUUUGAGGAAGCCCUCACCUCUCUUCCAGCUGGCCUGGUACAGCCUACACCAGUGCUCCGCUAGGACAGGUGGGAUAGCCAUGUUUUAUCAACCAGCCUGCACCACCUGCUGGCACCAAAAUGUGCCCUUUUGUGUCACUGGCGCUAUACCACCUAUACUAUACUACCAUAGUAACACUAUACAAUGUGUCUGGACAGCUCUUCCAGGGUUUGCUGAUGACUGAACUGAAAGCAGUACGGCUGGAGCAGCACUCACUGGGGAGAAGCAGUGUGGUUGGGUUCCCAUCCCUCCCUGGCCAUGUACACCACCUGGCACAGGGCUGGGACCAGCACUGUUAGCACCAUCGCAGUGAUGAUCCUGUGUCUGUGACGAUGGCACCCAAGGCCUUGUUCUUGUCCUCUAUAAAUGAGCUCAGUGUUGAGAGCUCAGGAUUUAUCAUGGAUGGGUCCUAAAGCACAA